UACGUAGGCAGCAAGCGUUGUUCGGAGUUACUGGGCGUAAAGGGUGCGUAGGUGGCUCUAUAAGUAUGGUGUGAAAUCUCCCGCUUAACUGGGAGGGUGCGCCGUAGACUGUGGGGCUAGAGUGUGGGAGAGGAAAGUGGAAUUCCUGGUGUAGCGGUGGAAAUGCGCAGAUAUCAGGAGGAACACCAUGCGGAAGGCAGAUCUCUGGGCCGUAACUGACGCUGAGGAGCGAAAGCAUGGGGAGCGAACAGG
rnacentral:rRNA from 1 species